GGGUGAGUAACGCGUGAGUAACCUGCCCUAGAGUGGGGGACAACAGUUGGAAACGACUGCUAAUACCGCAUAAGCCCACGGAUCCGCAUGGAUCUGCGGGAAAAGGAUUUAUUCGCUUUAGGAUGGACUCGCGUCCAAUUAGCUAGUUGGUGAGGUAACGGCCCACCAAGGCGACGAUUGGUAGCCGGACUGAGAGGUUGAACGGCCACAUUGGGACUGAGACACGGCCCAGACUCCUACGGGAGGCAGCAGUGGGGGAUAUUGCACAAUGGGGGAAACCCUGAUGCAGCGACGCCGCGUGGAGGAAGAAGGUUCUCGGAUUGUAAACUCCUGUCGUUAGGGACGAUAAUGACGGUACCUAACAAGAAAGCACCGGCUAACUACGUGCCAGCAGCCGCGGUAAAACGUAGGGUGCAAGCGUUGUCCGGAAUUACUGGGUGUAAAGGGAGCGCAGGCGGACCGGCAAGUUGGAAGUGAAAACUAUGGGCUCAACCCAUAAAUUGCUUUCAAAACUGCUGGCCUUGAGUAGUGCAGAGGUAGGUGGAAUUCCCGGUGUAGCGGUGGAAUGCGUAGAUAUCGGGAGGAACACCAGUGGCGAAGGCGACCUACUGGGCACCAACUGACGCUGAGGCUCGAAAGCAUGGGUAGCAAACAGGAUUAGAUACCCUGGUAGUCCAUGCCGUAAACGAUGACUACUAGGUGUUGGAGGAUU
rnacentral:rRNA from 1 species